rnacentral:misc_RNA from 1 species
GGGAACGAUUUCGCGCUGAGGAAGACCCUUUGGGACUUGUAGCUCCACUCCGGGGAACGGACUCGCCGGGACUGACAGUUGCCGGAAGCGGGUGGUCCUGGGCUCCAGGAACCACUGCAACUUGGGGAGUUGGAUAUCACUUCUGAUGAAUUCAUCCUGGAUGAAGUGGAUGUUCACAUUCAGGCAAAUCUGGAGGAUGAGUUAGUAAAGGAAGCUCUUAAAACGGGUGUAGAUCUCCGUCACUAUUCAAAGCAAGUUGAGCUGGAGCUACAGCAGAUUGAACAGAAAUCCAUUCGGGAUUAUAUUCAAGAGAGUGAGAAUAUAGCAUCUCUACACAACCAGAUCACAGCCUGUGAUGCUGUCCUGGAGCGAAUGGAGCAGAUGUUGGGAGCUUUUCAGAGUGACCUCAGCUCCAUCAGCUCUGAGAUCCGGACACUGCAGGAACAGUCAGGAGCCAUGAACAUUCGACUUCGAAAUCGCCAGGCAGUUCGGGGGAAACUUGGGGAGCUUGUUGAUGGUCUGGUGGUGCCUUCUGCUCUGGUCACGGCAAUUCUGGAGGCUCCAGUGACAGAGCCCAGGUUCUUGGAGCAGCUACAGGAGCUGGAUGCCAAGGCAGCCGCAGUCAGAGAGCAGGAAGCUAGAGGCACAGCAGCCUGCGCAGAUGUCAGAGGCGUGCUCGAUCGGCUCCGGGUCAAGGCAGUGACGAAGAUCCGAGAGUUUAUCCUCCAGAAGAUUUAUUCCUUCAGGAAACCCAUGACCAACUAUCAGAUCCCCCAGACGGCCCUGCUGAAGUACAGGUUCUUCUAUCAGUUUCUGUUGGGCAAUGAACGAGCAACAGCAAAGGAGAUCAGGGAUGAAUAUGUGGAGACGCUGAGCAAGAUUUACCUGUCUUACUACCGCUCUUACCUGGGGCGGCUCAUGAAGG